rnacentral:rRNA from 1 species
AUGAACGCUGGCGGCAUGCCUAACACAUACAAGUCGAUCGGUAAGGCUCUUCGGAGUACACGAGAGGCGGACGGCUGAGUAACGCGUAGGAACACACCCUGCAGUGAGGGAUAAGACACCGAAAGGUGUUCUAAUACCGCAUACGGUCUUCGGAUUAAAGCAUUUAUGCGCUGAAGGAGUGGCCUGCGUCAUAUUAGAUAGUUGGUGAGGUAAUGGCUCACCAAGUCGAUGAUGUGUAGCUGGUCUGAGAGGAUGAUCAGCCAGACUGGAACUGAGACACGGUCCAGACUCCUACGGGAGGCAGCAGUGAGGAAUAUUUCACAAUGAGCGAAAGCUUGAUGGAGCAAUGCCGCGUGCAGGAUGAAGGCCCUCGGGUUGUAAACUGCUUUUAUAAGAGAAGAUUAUGACGGUAACUUAUGAAUAAGGGACGGCUAACUACGUG